UUUUUUUUUUUUUUUGGGUAAGAAUAAGAUCAAUAAAAUAAAAUUCACAGCUUACAACAUCAGCCUGCAAUAACACUACUUUAAGACAUCAGCGGAUGGAUGGAUUGUAUAGUUUUGUUCUCAAAUAUAUUUAUGUUUAGGACAUCAGCGGUUUCAAUCCCUAAAAUUUGGAUGAAAGCAAAUGUAAUUUUAAUUAUUUUAAUUUUUAAUCACAUUUAGUCAUGUUUAAUAUGAUUUUUGUCAAUUGCAACCAGAAUUAGAUCACGUGCUAUCAUGUACCGGUAAUUAAUUUUAUGAAUAAAAUUUAAAUAAUGUUAAAAAAAUAUUGUUAGCCAUAAUUGAUAAUAAAAGAGGACUAAUUACUCACAUGUCGAUAUUGAGUAAUUUCUUUUUACCCCCAAUAAAAGACUAAUUACUCGCGUGAUUGGCAUGCGGGUAAUUAAUCCUCUUUUAUUACAUAUUAUGGCUAACAAUAUUUAUCUUUUUUUUAAAAAAAAAAAUUAGUUACUGGCAUGUGAUAGUAUAUGACUGAAUUCCGGUAACAAUUAGCAAAAAAAUCAAUGAAUGAGACUAAAUGUGUUUGAAAAUUGAAACAUUUGAAACUUCAUCUACUUUCGUCCAAGUUUCCAGGACUAAAACUGCUUGUACUCUAAACAUCCAUUUGGGACCAAAACUACAAUUUUGAAGUGAUAUAUUCCCCCCACCCCCCCCCCCCCCCCAAUCCUUGUCAAAGGAUCCGCGCUCAUGUUUGCCUCCCUGUAGAUAUGCCCGUAGAAAGUAUGGAAUAAAAAAACUCAUGGGUGCAAGAUCAUAAUGAGGUAACCAAUAAUGUAUUAUCAAUUAAGGAAAUUCAAUCCACGCAAUCAACUUCAACAUGCCGAUUUUCUGAACUUGCUGUAUCUUCACGUUUUCGUUUCGUUUCUGUCUUCUUCUUUUGGUUUGGUAGGCAUUGGUCGGCCACCUGCACCCAUGUACUAAUCAUUUGAUUGGUAAAUAUUAACAAUUGGCCGACAUCUUUUUCCAUAAACACACAUAUCAUGAGCUGUGAUGCUACUUAGUGUUGUAGGCGGAAUUUAUCUCUUGAUUUGGGUUGCAUUUAGUACAGACUUUAAGGUACUGAAUUAAGCUACUGCAUUUCUUGCUCCAUUUAACAAGUGAGUUUUUUGGAUGUUUGUCUGAAAUUUUACUGCAGUUUACUGUAAAAAUUUAUUGUAGAAAUUUUUUUUGAAGUGUGUAAAUUUUUGGAUGUUUUAAAGAAGUUUUUUGAGGUUAUUGUAGCUAAAGUUGUUAAAAAACUUGUAGCAGGUAAACUUGAUCAAAAACUUGUUUGCCGAACAAGGCCUCUCUGUUUUCAGAGGUUUUAAGGGUUCUCAGGUAGAAGGCAAAAGCACAAAUGAAAAGAGAGAAUCAUCAGUCACAAAAAACUGAGGUUCAGAAGUGUACUACUGCUUCUCAAGUUCGAAAAUGUUAAAGCUCUAAUGCAUCAGCACUUCAAUAUCACAGCCUGUAGAAGUGAAAAUUUCAGCACUUGAAUCUCCUCCGCUGCUUGCCUAUUUAUAGGCCUUGAUUGAGUGAAAAUUUCACCUAUGAUUGUACAAAUCACAGCCUGUAGGAGCAAAGUUUAUCAACGUGAAAGGACAAGCUAUGACUGAAUGCCCCAAACAGAGAUAACAACUGCCACCAGACAGUUAAAUAGUAAAACAAAGUUGCAGCACUAGUCAUGGACUUCUUUUGGAUAUCAUAAUUCAGCUAUUGAUAGAGUGCAAAAAUUUUGAAGAUGGAAGAAUGUUUUUGAAGUAGUGAUCUUGCAAACUGUAGCGAAGGAUAGGUGGAAAUACUACUACUGAAAAAUGAAAAGAAGGGACUCUCACUUUGGAGGAAAAAGUUUCAAAGUAACAAAGGUGAUGGGCUGAUUCACUGAAAACUUGUCAACAGCUCCAACCUCGUAGAUCAUCGACAUUGAUCUUAAGUUCUAAGCUAGCAAGCAAUAGGUUGUGUUCAUGGGAAAUUGUAUUACAGAUUCUAAAUCAAAAAGACCCACUCGCCAAAACGAAAAAAGAACGGAAGGAAACAAGAAGAACCAGCAAACAAGAGGUCAAAUAAAUUCAGAGAUGAGGAAUACCAACAAAUAUCCGACAAGCAACUUGCAGAAAACCUCUCUUUCCUAUUCUGUACUCAAAUGAACACAUUGCUAGGACUGCAGCAUCGCAUUCAGAAUCAGACAGUUUAACCCAGAACAAGCUUUUCAGUCAUUGAAUUGUGCAAAGGAAUAUAUGUGAAAGAUAAAUUCGAGUAGAGAACCAAAUUAAAAUGAGAGGAAGAUAGGAUAGUACUAGAGACAGAAUUCAGUAAUUCAGAAUACUGCUGAAGUGAUGAAGAAUGAACAAUGAGAUCAUGCAUUUCACAGAGUGAAUGCUAAGUCAUCAGAACAAUGAAUGUAUCUACUUCCAACUUGAAACAAAAGUAUAUUCUCAGUGAUAAAGAACUGAGAGUUUGGUUACUAGCAACAGUUAGUUAGCUAAGUCUACUACCAACCAACACACACAACCCCCCCCCCCCCCCCCCCCCCCCCCGGCCUAAAAAAUGUUCCAAAAAAGAAAAUUAUCGAAAACCUUGUUCAAAAUUAGCUACAUAAUAAACAAGGGAAGGAAACAGAGAUAGGAAUAGGAAGAAAGAAUAACAAACAAAAAUCAGCAUGAAUGAUUCCAGCAUUCUUACAAUUCUGAUGUCUGUAGGAUCCAAAAUAAACAGCUCUUCAGUAAAAGGGAUACUACUUGUUACAUAUAAUAGAGAACAACAAUCAGCAAGCUCCUGCCUCUUCUUUGCUCUCAAAGCAGUAAUAUUUUUCCUAUGUCAUCAAUUUGCUCUCCAUUCUUACUGAACUAGGCUGGAAAAUAAUGUGAAGAACAGCAAUAAUAAAACAAGGUACCAUAUCAAAAGAAGAAAAGUUCAUGCCAUGUCGAUAUGGAUAAUCCGGAAUUCUUUGGCAACCAUUUGCCAGAACUAUUGUAUUAAGAUAACACGUUCAUCCUUCGAGAGGCACAUUAAAGUUUCUGGAUGGUAUCUGGAUAUUGGAACUGAAAUUGGCAUUCAUCUUAUCGUUCUAAAAGAAGUUAAUCGGUUUAUCUGAAAGCGAAGAUUGAAGCACAACCAAGAAACAAAAAUAUAAUAUCCAGAUUUGGCCAGAAAAUUUAAUUCUCUGACUUAACAGCCAAACUGCUCAAGUAAAUGUAGAAAACAUAGAAGAGCAAGCAAAACUACCUACCUCUCGUUUAUGCUCUAUACUUUAUACCAUUAAGUUACUCAGAAUUUAUGAAUAAAGACCUGAUCUAAGCUAAACCCUUUUUGGGGAGUACAAUGAAGCAUUACUUAUUUGAGACAUCAUACAUAAAGGGAUUGUACUACUAUUACGCAUAUCUAACCUAAGACAUUCAUUCCAUGUUAAUUAAUCUUCCAGAAUAUUAACUCUGGGCAUAAGAGAACGAAACCCUCAAAUAAUAACUCUCAAUACAAGGAUAAACCCAAUAUAAUAGCCCCAAAGGCAUUUAGCCACCAUUUUAGGAGCCAAAACAAGCUCUGGAUCUCCUUAAAAUUCCAAGUGGAAUAUAACAUUAGGAUCAUUAUCUAGAGAUCAUAAAAUCAGAGUUAACCAGAACCCACCAACAUUUACUAGACAUGAAACUCAUAAAAUACCAAUUUCUUACUUUACCAAUUCAAUGGGCAUCCUCCAUUCUAGAGGUCUAAUACUAAUCUCCCCUAUCACACCUUGUGAUAAUUUCACAACCUCUGUUGUAAGUGUUAACUGGACCAGCACCCUUGCAAUUAUAGUAUGAAGAACCAGGCCUAUUACAUGGAGCAAAAUCCCUCCUCAAUGUAUCAUAACUUAUGAACCUCCUCCGCAUAAGCAGCAUUCUUCUGUGGCUCUCAGAAUCCAUCUCCUCCUCCUCUUCCUCCAGAGACACAGUUGGGCAAUCACUCAUCUUUCCAGCACAAGCCCUUUCCACCAUGGCAUCCAACUCACUAUUUUUCAUUGAAUUCAGGUCCAAAACUGACAUCCCACAACACAUUUUCACCAAGAAAAGCACUAGCAUUACCAAAAUGAGCGUAUUCAAGGGGUGCUGCUGAGUUUUGAGCAUUUUGUGGGUUGAAGUUUGUUUUAGAUUUUUUCUUCUUUCUUGUCAGUAGAAGAGAGGCCUAAGAAAAGUGAGAUUUCAAUUUCUAUAACAUGGCAGUCAGAGAUGAGUAAAGCAGACAUUAGCAUUUAGACAUUAAUGUUGGCAGUGGCCACAGUGAACAGUGUGUACCUACGUCAACUACUAAGUAUACGCAACUAUUGUUGAGUCAU
rnacentral:lncRNA from 1 species